rnacentral:rRNA from 1 species
GACGAACGCUGGCGGCGUGCCUAAUACAUGCAAGUCGAGCGAACAGAGAAGGAGCUUGCUCCUUCGACGUUAGCGGCGGACGGGUGAGUAACACGUGGGCAACCUACCCUAUAGUUUGGGAUAACUCCGGGAAACCGGGGCUAAUACCGAAUAAUCUGUUUCACCUCAUGGUGAAACACUGAAAGACGGUUUCGGCUGUCGCUAUAGGAUGGGCCCGCGGCGCAUUAGCUAGUUGGUGAGGUAACGGCUCACCAAGGCGACGAUGCGUAGCCGACCUGAGAGGGUGAUCGGCCACACUGGGACUGAGACACGGCCCAG